AGAGUUUGAUCAUGGCUCAGAACGAACGUUAGCGGCGNNCCUAAGACAUGCAAGUCGAGCGAGAAAGGGCUUCGGCCCCGGUAAAGCGGCGACGGGUGAGUAACACGUAGGUAAUCAACCCUCGGGUGGUGGAUAACUCUCCGAAAGGAGAGCUAAUACAGCAUGAAGCUAGCAAUAGCCAAAGCGGGCCUCUUCAUGAAAGCUCGCGCCGGAGGAUGAGCCUGCGGCCCAUCAGGUAGUUGGCGGAGUAACAGCCCACCAAGCCUAAGACGGGUAGCUGGUCUGAGAGGAUGAACAGCCACACUGGAACUGAGACACGGUCCAGACUCCUACGGGAGGCAGCAGUCGGGAAUCUUCCGCAAUGGGCGAAAGCCUGACGGAGCGACGCCGCGUGAGCGAUGAAGGCCUUCGGGUUGUAAAGCUCUGUGGGGAGAGAAGAAUAAGUUCAGGCGAAUACCCUGAAUGAUGACGGUAUCUCCUUAGCAAGCACCGGCUAACUCUGUGCCAGCAGCCGCGGUAAGACAGAGGGUGCAAACGUUGUUCGGAUUUACUGGGCGUAAAGCGCGUGUAGGCGGCUUGGCAAGUCGGAUGUGAAAGCCCACGGCUCAACCGUGGAAGCGCAUCCGAAACUGCUUCGCUCGAGUCUCGGAGAGGAAGGUGGAAUGCUUGGUGUAGAGGUGAAAUUCGUAGAUAUCAAGCAGAACACCUGCGGCGAAGGCGGCCUUCUGGACGAUGACUGACGCUGAGACGCGAAAGCGUGGGGAGCAAACAGGAUUAGAUACCCUAGUAGUCC
rnacentral:rRNA from 1 species